rnacentral:rRNA from 1 species
CGAACGGUAACAGGAAGAAGCUUGCUUCUUUGCUGACGAGUGGCGGACGGGUGAGUAAUGUCUGGGAAACUGCCUGAUGGAGGGGGAUAACUACUGGAAACGGUAGCUAAUACCGCAUAACGUCGCAAAACCAAAGAGGGGGACCUUCGGGCCUCUUGCCAUCGGAUGUGCCCAGAUGGGAUUAGCUAGUAGGCGGGGUAACGGCUCACCUAGGCGACGAUCCCUAGCUGGUCUGAGAGGAUGACCAGCCACACUGGAACUGAGACACGGUCCAGACUCCUACGGGAGGCAGCAGUGGGGAAUAUUGCACAAUGGGCGCAAGCCUGAUGCAGCCAUGCCGCGUGUAUGAAGAAGGCCUUCGGGUUGUAAAGUACUUUCAGCGGGGAGGAAGGGAGUAAAGUUAAUACCUUUGCUCAUUGACGUUACCCGCAGAAGAGGCACCGGCUAACUCCGUGCCAGCAGCCGCGGUAAUACGGAGGGUGCAAGCGUUAAUCGGAAUUACUGGGCGUAAAGCGCACGCAGGCGGUUUGUUAAGUCAGAUGUGAAAUCCCCGGGCUCAACCUGGGAACUGCAUCUGAUACUGGCAAGCUUGAGUCUCGUAGAGGGGGGUAGAAUUCCAGGUGUAGCGGUGAAAUGCGUAGAGAUCUGGAGGAAUACCGGUGGC